UACGUAGGGGGCAAGCGUUGUCCGGAAUCAUUGGGCGUAAAGAGCGUGUAGGCGGCCCGGUAAGUCUGUUGUGAAAGUCCAGGGCUCAACCCUGGAAUGCCGAUGGAUACUGCCGGGCUAGAGUUCGGAAGAGGCGAGUGGAAUUCCUGGUGUAGCGGUGGAAUGCGCAGAUAAUCAGGAGGAACACCUAUAGCGAAGGCAGCUCGCUGGGACGACACUGACGCUGAGACGGCGAAAGCGUGGGGAGCGAACAG
rnacentral:rRNA from 1 species